CAGUCGUACCGGCGGAUAAUCAGCCUUUCGGGUGCGAUUCUGUGGGGCGUGAGGAGCUUAACCGCCUUCAUGUUUUGCAUAUUCGUGCACAUUUGGUGUACUUGUCCGUGUGGUGGGUUAACAUCAAUUUCGGUCGUCAUAAAAUGACUGGAGGAAUGUAGCUUCGAUCUCGUAUUGAAGUGUUAUAGCCUUUGGUAGAUGUGAUGUUUGAGACCGAGGAUUGCAACGGAUACCCUUCAGGGCUAUUCGUCUGAUCUCUGAUACGUUGCCUUGAUGUUGAAAGCUUGCUUAUGAUGUUAGGGUAUUACGGUCAAAAGGUUAGAACGGGUUUAAAUUCGUUAAGG
rnacentral:rRNA from 1 species